rnacentral:rRNA from 1 species
UACGAAGGGGACUAGCGUUGUUCGGAAUUACUGGGCGUAGAGCGCACGUAGGCGGCUUUCUAAGUCGGGGGUGAAAUCCUGGAGCUCAACUCCAGAACUGCCUUCGAUACUGGAGAGCUCGAGUCCGGGAGAGGUGAGUGGAACUGCGAGUGUAGAGGUGAAAUUCGUAGAUAUUCGCAAGAACACCAGUGGCGAAGGCGGCUCACUGGCCCGGUACUGACGCUGAGGUGCGAAAGCGUGGGGAGCAAACAGG